ACGAACUCAAUAUAUUUAAUUACAUACGUAUACGAGCAGCACUUCAAUCAAUUAAUCCUUACUCAAAUUUAUAUUUUCAUCCUAUCAUGAAACCAUCUUCAAUUAACUCACAUCUUAAUACAUUUUUACCAAAAUUACUUACAUCCAUUGCUUACGAAAUUCCUUAGAUUAUAUCACCGGCAACUUAUUUAUGAUGUCACGUGCCUACUUCAACCUUUCUAAAUAAUUUUCGCCCAAAUCCAUCUUAUAUUU
rnacentral:lncRNA from 1 species